UACGUAGGGUGCAAGCGUUAAUCGGAAUUACUGGGCGUAAAGCGUGCGCAGGCGGUUAUGCAAGACAGAUGUGAAAUCCCCGGGCUCAACCUGGGAACUGCAUUUGUGACUGCAUGGCUAGAGUGCGGCAGAGGGGGAUGGAAUUCCGCGUGUAGCGGUGGAAUGCGCAGAUAUCAGGGAGGGAACACCGGGUGGCGAAGGCGGGGUCCUG
rnacentral:rRNA from 1 species